rnacentral:rRNA from 1 species
GAUGAACGCUGGCGGCGUGCCUAAUACAUGCAAGUCGAGCGGACAGACGAGGAGCUUGCUCCUCUGACGUUAGCCGCGGACGGGUGAGUAACCCGUGGAUAACCUCCUUAUAAGACUGGGAACACUUCGGGAAACCGGAGCUAAUACCGGAUAAUAUAUUGAAUCGAAUGGUGCAAUAGUGAAAGACGGUGUUGGUGUCACUUAUAGAUGGAUCUGCGCCGCAUUAGGUAGUGGGUAAGGUAACGGCUUAGCAAGGCAACGAUGCGUAGCCGACCUGCGAGGGUGAUCGGCCACACGGGAACGGGGACACGGUCCAGACUCCUGCGGGAGGGAGCAGUAGGGAAUCUGCCGCAGUGGGCGAGAGGAUGACGGAACAACGCGGCGUGAGUGAUGAAGGUGUUCUGAUCGUAAAACUCUGUUAUUAGGGAAGAACAAAUGUGUAAGUAACUAUGCACGUCUUGACGGUACCUGAUCAAAAAGCCACGGCUAACUACGUG